rnacentral:misc_RNA from 1 species
GAUGAAGAACGUAGUGAAAUGCGAUAAGUAGUGUGAAUUGCAGAAUUCAGUGAAUCAUCGAAUCUUUGAACGCACAUUGCGCCCCUUGGUAUCCCGAGGGGCAUGCCUGUUCGAGCGUCAUUUCACCACUCAAGCCUGGCUUGGUGUUGGGCGACGUCCUCUUUGGGGACGCGCCUCGAAACGCUCGGCGGCGUGGCACCGGCUUUAAGCGUAGCAGAAUCUUUCGCUUUGGAAGUCGGGGCCCCGUCUGCCGGAAGACCUGCUCGCAAGGUUGACCUCGGAUCAGGCAGGGAUACCUGCUGAACUUAAGCAUAUCAAUAAGCGGAGGA